rnacentral:rRNA from 1 species
UACGGAGGGUGCAAGCGUUAUCCGGAUUCACUGGGUUAAAGGGUGCGUAGGUGGGUCUGUAAGUCAGCGGUGAAAUCUCCGGGCUUAACCCGGAAACUGCCAUUGAUACUAUAGGUCUUGAAUUAUCUGGAGGUAAGCGGAAUAUGUCAUGUAGCGGUGAAAUGCUUAGAUAUGACACAGAACACCGAUUGCGAAGGCAGCUUGCUAAACUGUGAUUGACGCUGAGGCACGAAAGCGUGGGGAUCAAACAGG